UUUGGAUAAUCUUCUGGGAAUGGAAAGUCCGGGUAACAAGACAUCUCCUUGCAGGUGUUGGAAACCACAGACUUGUAGAGGCUGGCUCUGCCUUCUUCAACAUGUUCCUAUACAAGCAGUGCAUGAAAAUGAGAAGAUCUAAAGCAGUGCUGUUCAAAGAGCCAGACUGGUAUGAACUCUUUGCCACCAGUUUAUGACAAUCUCGAGAAUCACAGCUACUGGUCAUGGACCAUGCUUUGAGUAACAAGACUUUACAGCAGUCCUACCUGAUAGGAGUGGGACGUAGCCCACACAUGUACUUUAAAAAUUUCCAAUAGCCACAUUAAAAAAGGGGCUCAGAUAGUCAAGAAUCUGCCUGCAGUGCAGGAGACCCAGGUUUGAUCCAUGGGUCAGGAAGAUCCCUUGGAGAAGGGAAUGGCUCCCCACUCGAGUAUUCUUGCCUGGAGGAUUCCAUGGACAGAGAAACCUGGUGGGCUACAGUCCAUGGGGUCGCAAAGAGUCAGACAUGACUGAAGAAGUAACACUCCUUGGAUAUGGCUAGUCAUCAGACAUCUCAGAUUCAAUGAGUCCAAAAUUGAGUUUAUCACUGAAGUCCUCCUGCUCAGGCUUGCAUUCUUCCACACGCCUCCCCUCGUCCCAGCACUGCUCUCAAUCCAGUUUCCACUGCCUGAAAUCUGCAAGUCACCUGUGAUUCUGCUCUCUUCCUUUAAUUAUUCUUGGAGCCAAUCAUUAUGUCCUGCUGGUUUCACUCUUAACUAUUUCUCUUCUCCACGUUGUCUGUUUGCCUGGCUGAGGUUGUAUCAUGUUUUAGUAUAGACAAUUACAUAGCCUUCUCACUGGUCUCUGGGACUGUAUUCCUUUCACCUUUCAAAUCUAUCUUUCACACUAAUGCUGAAAUAAUCUACCAAAAAUGUAAAUCUGAUAAUGUCUGGUCUUUGCUUAGAACCUUUCACUGGGUCCUCUGGCAGAAGAGCUUUCUUAAGUGGAGACUCUAGGUCCUCAAGCCAGACUUAAUCAGGGCUCCUAAGGGUCCACUGGAUGGUUUUGGGUCUACCAGCUAAAUUUGGGAAGGGGCUUCAGGUGGCUCAGUAAAAAAAGAAUUUUCCCACAAUGCAGGAGACGCAGAUUUGAUCCCUGGAUUGGGAAGAUCUUUUGAAGAAGGAACUGGCAACCCACUCCAGUAUUCUUGCCUGGGAAAUCCCAUGGACAGAGAAGCCUGGCAGCAUACAGUCCAUAGAGUCGCAAAAGAGUUGAACAUGACUUAGAAACUAAACAACAACAAGAAAUUAGAAAGAGCUGAUCUAUAUUUUAUAUUCAAACUCGUUAGUGUGCCUCAAAAGGUUCCUCUGUUCUGGUCCCUUGCUCUCUAAGAAGAAUCUUUCACCCCUCCCUGCCUCACACCCCACGUUCUAGGAAUAUCAGAUAACGUGUAACUCUCCAUCUAUAUCACACCUCUGUGCUCUCACUCAAGGGUUCCUUUUUCUGCACCUGGGAAACC